rnacentral:rRNA from 1 species
UUCGCAAUGCCCGAAAGGGUGACGAAGCGACGCCGCGUGGGUGAGGAAGGCCCUCGGGUUGUAAAGCCCUGUCAGGAGUUAAGAAAUGUAGAUACGUUAAUAUCGUAUCUAUUUGACAAAGGCUCCAAAGGAAGCCACGGCUAACUCUGUGCCAGCAGCCGCGGUAAUACAGAGGUGGCAAGCGUUGUUCGGAAUUAUUGGGCGUAAAGAGCACGUAGGUGGAUUUGUAAGUCAGAUGUGAAAGCCUUCUGUUCAACGGAAGAAUUGCAUCUGAAACUACAAACCUUGAGUAUAGGAGGGGAGAAUGGAACUUCUGGUGGAGCGGUGAAAUGCGUAGAUAUCAGAAGGAACGCCGGCGGCGAAAGCGAUUCUCUGGCCUAUUACUGACACUCAGUGUGCGAAAGCUAGGGGAGCAAACGGGAUUAGAUACCCCGGUAGUCCUAGCCGUAAACGAUGGGCACUAAGUAGA